rnacentral:lncRNA from 1 species
AUUGAGUAGAGAUAACCUCUUACCAAAACUGUCUCUGUUUCUGAAACAGAAAACUGCAUUUUCAACAGAAAAAUCUGCAACUUCUUUGGUUCUUCUUGUUCUUCAAGAUGUGUGAAUGAGAUGCUUCCAUGUACACCAGAAUGAGCCUUAUAACUCCUUCCUCUCACGUGCUGUUCACCAAUAGACAGCUUGUCUUUCAGCCUGAGACAUUCAAGUCUCCAUACCUUCCUCAAAACCUGAGAAAUACCAUGAUGCUUCACCAAGAAAGAGUCUUAUGGCUUAUUCCUCUCUUUAGCAUCAUUUACCAAGAGCUACUGCUUUGUUGUUCCUCCUGAGACAUCACUUGUCUCUACAAAACCAGCUCUCCAAGAAAAGGACGUGGCUUCUUAACAGGAAAAGGAGCCUUGCUGCUCCAACUUUCCAAAGAUCCAACCUUUCUCACUUUUCUUCACUCUCCUCCUUUCUCUAGAUCUUCUCUCCUUUAGAUCUGAAUCUUCUUUCUCUCUUUCUUCUGGAUCUGAGACUUUCUCUCUUGAAAUCUCAGUGAUCUCCAAAGCUUCACUCAUGCUUAGAAUCUCCUCAUAACCCAUGAGUUUCUCCUUCCAUAAAACACAGCUUCCAUAACCUUCGAAGCUUCCACUUCUCUUCUUGACAAAAAACAUGAUUCUUGACUUGAGAACCAUAAAACACAGAACCAAGGCUCUGAUACCACUUUGUUAGGAUUCAGAGGCUUAAAGACAUCACUUUGUCUCAGCAUAAACCCACAACAAACCAAGAUAGAAGUUGCUGGAAGUCCAAAAUAGAGACUGCAUAAAACAGAGUUGUAGAGAGUAUGAAGAAGAGAAUAGAGAGAAGGAGAAGAUGGGAGCACACACACAAUUUAAGGAGUUCGCGCCCGUUAACGAGGGUCACUACAUCUCCCCGAGACUACAGCUCGGAAUCCACUAGAAGGUAUAACAUAGUUACAAAGAUACAAGUGAUUCACUCAUCAUAUCACUCAUGAACUCACUCUAAUGUAUCUUACUAUGCUCUAAUGAGAAAACCCAAAGCUAGGCUUAAGCUCACAUGUUUCUCUCACCCUUCUAAGCUCUUUGUGUGGCUCAAUCUCUCUCUCACGUUCUCAGCCUCCCUUUAUAGUGGAGACACCUUCAAACCUAAUGCACAAGAGGACAAAAUGGAGAGGCUCCUCCUUGUGGUCCCAAAAGUAACUUAACCCAUCUUCAACUCACCAUACUAACUUGAGUUAAGCCUUGGAUUACUUUUGAUCUUCAUUUGCUUGAUCAACAAGUGUUCUUAUCUUCACAAAUCUCCACCUAAGAACAUGUUGAUCAACCCAAACAACUUGCACAUACUUGAGAGAGAGAGUUUCUUCUUCUAGCUUCUUGGAUUCCAGUCUCGGCUUCUGAGUAUCACUACUCAUCCUUGAUCCUUAGCAGCUUCAAAGGUUUCAGAGGCUUAAAGACAUCACUUUGUCUCAGCAUAAACCCACAACAAACCAAGAUAGAAGUUGCUUGAAGUCCAAAAAUAGAAUGCUGUAAAAAACAUAGUUGUAGAGAGUAUGAAGAAGAGAAUAGAGAGAAGGAGAAGAUGGGAGCACACACACAAUUUAAGGAGUUCGCGCCCGUUAACGAGGGUCACUACAUCUCCCCGAGACUACAGCUCGGAAUCCACUAGAAGGUAUAACAUAGUUACAAAGAUACAAGUGAUUCACUCAUCAUAUCACUCAUGAACUCACUCUAAUGUAUCUUACUAUGCUCUAAUGAGAAAACCCAAAGCUAGGCUUAAGCUCACAUGUUUCUCUCACCCUUCUAAGUUCUUUGUGUGGCUCAAUCUCUCUCUCACGUUCUCAGCCUCCCUUUAUAGUAGAGACAUCUUUAAACCUAAUACACAAGAGGACAAAAUGGAGAGGCUCCUCCUUGUGGUCCCAAAAGUAACUUAACCCAUCUUCAACUCACCAUACUAACUUGAGUUAAGCCUUGGAUUACUUUUGAUCUUCAUUUGCUUGAUAAACAAGUGUUCUCAUCUUCACAAAUCUCCACCUGAGAACAUGUUGAUCAUCCCAAACAACUUGCACAUACUUGAGAGAGAGUUUCUUCUUCUAGCUUCUUGGAUUCCUGUCUCGGCUUCUCAGUAUCACUACUCAUCCUUGAUCCUUAGCAGCUUCAAACACCAUGAACCUGCUUGAUCCUUGCAGCAUUCAACAUCUUGUUCAAUGCACAUCAGCUGUGAAAAUUCACCUUGCCGAACCUGAGCCAUUAGAACAUCUUCAUGUCACUUGAGUUGUGAAAACCAGCUCUAACACAAAUCUAUAUUAGGCUCAACUCAUCAGUGACUUCUCCUGGCACAUGCAGCACCUGAAUAUCUGAUAUAAAGCUCAAUAAACUCCAGUACCAAGCUUAGAAAACGUCCAGUUUGUUACUCCAACAGAAAAGUCCAUAAGCUUUAUCACUUAUGACUUCUCCAAUCACACAAUUCCUCCAUGGCUUCUGUCAUAACCAUAAGCAUGUUUCAGUGACUGAGAAAAUACCAAUACCACCUCUGCAAAUCUUGAUUCACUUGCUAGCUUCUAGGAUUUCCUCAUGCGCGUUGAGAUCAAAACCCUUUGAAUUCACUUGAAUCAAAUGCAGAAAUAACAGAAUCAUCUUAGCUUCUAGCUUGAAGCUUCUUGAUUCAACUUGCAGUCAAUCUCACCAAUAGCUUACACUAUCUGAGAUUCACAUCUUCAACCUGUUUAACCAAGCAAUCCCAGAACAGAACCCUGCUCCACCAUCUUGUUAAAACAGAACACACUAACAGCUUGAAAAAACCCACUACUAGCAACCUUGCAUAUGUCUCUUAUCAACAACUUCUUGUGACAUCCCUGAGACACGUCCAUACAAUAGCUUACAUAUCAAUUCUAAAACCCUUGAUGUUUCUUUCAAGUUGUAAAGAACAACCUGCAAUACUUCUUCUUGUAUGCAGCCUCCACCAAAACAAAUCCGGUUCUUGCAUUAUUCAGUUUGCAGUCAUUAACCGACAUUCUUCUUCCUGAAUAUCAUUAACUUUACUUGUCUGCAACUGACUUCCCAUGAGUAGACACUUAUGUAGACUCCUCAUGAUGCAACUAAGACAACUUCACGCUCCUGAGUUGUUGUCUUUCUAAUGCAGCUUGAUCUCUGCAUUCUUCAUCCUUUCAGGACUUCUUUUUCAGGUUCUGACACUUCACUUGAGAUGAAUUAUCCAUCAGACUUGAUACACGACACCUUCACAUUCUUGAAGUGAGCAUCCUUGACACAUAACCAUGUAUCAUCUGCACUUGUCUACUUCAGUUUCUUCUUUAUAGAACUCACUGAAAAAAAAAAAACUACUUCAAUUGCUUCAUCUCACAACACAGCUUUGUGUCUUUUCUCUGAAAAACUUUCAGAAACCUGCAACCCACUUGUAGAAACCUGCAACUCUGUUUCUCUAAGCCUGCAACUCGUUUCUGAUUAUCCUGAUCAACACCCAGCUUCAAAUCAAAUCUGAAAACAACCUGUUACCAUCAGAUUAUAGCCUUUCUUGAGCUGAAUACCAGUUGACACACCAUCAGUUCUUCACUUGUUUUCUUCUUUGCACAAAGAACUUCAAUGAAUCUAAUACAACAGCGAGAUGCUUAACCCUUUAACUCUUUUAUCUUCAGCUAAACACUUGAGAAAACCUCCAAAUAUAGCUCCACCAGGAAUAGAAAAAAUAUCAUUUAAGAUAUGCAUUGCUCUUCUUGUAGCAAUAAUGUUCCACCUGAAACUAUAACCACUUGGACAUACUCUGUCUCUAUCUCAGCUUCACAAUCAGAGUUAAAACCACUCUUUCAUGUAUCUUUGAUCCACAAACACAUUCUUAUGUAUCAGAUUGAGUCACAAUGACUUCUUGCUUGAGAAAGUGUGCCAAAACCUGUGACACAUCUUCUUCCUUCUUGCAGCCCAACUGAUCCAUUUGCAACCAGAAAACCCUCAAGAACUUUCUUUCUUCCAGCAGUACUGUCUCUUAAAGCAUUCUUCAUGUUGUGAUGAUGUUACAACUUAGGCUGAUACAUCAACAAACCAUGCUUCUAUAAAUCUUGUACUCUCUUGUCGCCAAAAAUACAACCAUACUUGUCUUGUACCGCUGUUGAUAAACAGGACACGCCGCCUAACUCCUCUAGCUAGGAAGACUUUCGAUACCAGAUUGUAUCAUGUUGCAUAAAAAAUGCAUUCAAAGACAAUCCUCAUGAGUCAUGAUGUCUCCAAUGCCUUCAGCUUCUAGACCACCAGAAUCUUCUUCAACCUCUGAAGAUCUGAUUCAAAUACAAGAUAACCUUCUGAGAAAACAAUGCUCCACCUGAGAUAGUACUCCUUAUUCACCAAGAUUCAAUCCAGCAGAAAACUCCAUGUGUUACACCAAACACAAAUUUUCUUAAGAAACAUGAAUCUUCGCUACUUCCAUCUUGUCAAGAGCUUACACUACUUGAAACAAGAACUCGAACAAUCCUCUGUAUACACUCAAGCUCACAAGAGCUCAACCUUCAUUGCAUCCCUCUGAAAAUAGCAAUGAAACUGAGUGUUACACCUUAUGUUCACCAUAACAUUUUCAGACCGCUACAAGAGCUUAAUCAUCAUUGCAUUCCCUCUAAAAAUAGCAAUCAUGUAGCUUCAUGUUCUCUGAUGAAACACCGCCUGUAGACUGUCAUAUUCACAAGAACUGAUAGCUAACACCCUGAGAUAAAACCUGCAGCAAGAAACCCCAUCCAAAAACUCAAUAGCCACUGAAAUUUCCAUAAAUGUUUCUGCCUUUGACAAACAGAAAACAUGCCCUGCUCCAUAACCAUUCUGCAUCCUCCUCUAAACUGACCCAAAAAAUAUCCUUACAGAUACUCACACAGCCAUAAAACACUCAUCAAGUCCAAGGUUUUAGACGUCCUUGAACUUUCUGAGUUUCCGGGCUGGAAACAGAAUAAGCUCAAAACACCAAUUGUAGCUGACUUCGACAAACUGAUUCAUCCAAAGAAUACCCUGAAAACCAUCACUGAAUCUUGGCCAAUCCCAUGCAAAACCAGUACCAGAUCACUGUGUUCCAACAGGCUUCCAAUCCCCAUAGAUAUGCAGAACUUGAGCAACUUGAAACUUCACUACAAAGCAUCACAACACCUUGUGACUGCAGCGGAAUCAGACUUUAGAAGUCUCAGAAAACUUGAGUCUUGAAGUUGAUGUUCGGUUUUGAUAUAAACCAUUGAGUAACAGAACAUGUACUCAUCAUUUCAUAACCCCAAAACCAGCUGAUAUCUCUGAAAUAUCUCCAGCUUACACCAAUCUUCGAUCGGUUUCUUCAGCAUUGAUCAAGAACUCUCUUCUUGUAUCAUGUGCUUCUUGCUUCUAUCUCUGAUAAUUUUCUUCUGCUUGCUACACUUCAGCUUGUGAGAAUUUUGUCAUCCUUCUCACAGUGUCGCAGCUUCUUGUAUCUUAGAGGUCUCUUGAUUUCAUAGCCCUUGAAAUCACCUCAACUGAUUCACACUUUCACCAUGAAUCACUCCUUAAGAUACAACUUGUUCACAUCCCAUCUUCACACUAUAACCUGAGCUAAACCGGUUUUAUAACCACUUGAGCUUCUCAAGAACCUUAUGUUACUCCACCUAAGAUCUAACUGGAUCCUUGAUUGAGUAGAGAUAACCUCUUACCAAAGUUGUCUCUGUUUCUGAAACAGAAAACUGCAUUUUCAACAGAAAAAUCUGCAACUUCUUUGGUUCUUCUUGUUCUUCAAGAUGUGUGAAUGAGAUGCUUCCAUGUACACCAGAAUGAGCCUUAUAACUCCUUCCUCUCACGUGCUGUUCACCAAUAGACAGCUUGUCUUUCAGCCUGAGACAUUCAAGUCUCCAUACCUUCCUCAAAACCUGAGAAAUACCAUGAUGCUUCACCAAGAAAGAGUCUUAAGGCUUCUUCCUCUCUUUAGCAUCAUUUAC